rnacentral:rRNA from 1 species
GUAGGUGGCAAGCGUUGUCCGGAAUUAUUGGGCGUAAAGCGCGCACAGGCGGUUCUUUAAGUCUGAUGUGAAAGCCCACGGCUCAACCGUGGAGGGUCAUUGGAAACUGGAGAACUUGAGUACAGAAGAGGAAAGCGGAAUUCCACGUGUAGCGGUGAAAUGCGUAGAGAUGUGGAGGAACACCAGUGGCGAAGGCGGCUUUCUGGUCUGUAACUGACGCUGAGGCGCGAAAGCGUGGGGAGCAAACAGGAUUAGAUACCCUGGUAGUCCACGCCGUAAACGAUGAGUGCUAAGUGUUAGGGGGGUUUUCCGCCCCCCUUAGUGCUGCAGCUAACGCAUUAAGCACUCCGCCCUGGGAGUACGGCCGCAAGGCUG